UACGGAAGGGCAAGCGUUGUUCGGAAUCAUUGGGCGUAAAGGGCGCGUAGGUGGUUCUGUAUGUCUACCGUGAAAGCAUACAGCUCAACUGUAUUUGUCGGUAGAAACUGCAGGACUUGAGGCUGGGAGGGGCUGGAUGGAAUUCCCUGUGUAGCGGUGAAAUGCGUAGAGAUGGGGAAGAACACCUGCGAGGCGGCAAGC
rnacentral:rRNA from 1 species